rnacentral:lncRNA from 1 species
GUGCCCUCUGCUGGCCUGCAGGAGUAUAUCAUCAUUAUCAUCAUCGUCGUCGUCGUCGUCGUCGUCGUCGUCAUCAUAAAGAACCUCAUUUCAGAGCCCCAGAACUCAGGUAAGGCUGGAUGAAGUUGUGUUCAUCUAUAAUCCCAGCACUUCUACAGCACAAUGGGAAGAAGAGACAGGUGACUUUCCAGAGGCUCAUGGGCCGGCUAGCCUGGUGGUUGGUGUGUGCUGUGGGAAACAAGAGAAGAGACUGCCUCUAACAAGAUGGAAGGUGUCCCUGCAUAGAAGCCUAGAGAAGCCAUCGUGUGAAGCUGUGACAGAGAAGACUGGAUUACCUUGGAGACCCCAAGAUGUUGGAGAUGCCAGAGUCAUGUGAUACCUGCUGAAGAGAGCUGCUAACCGGGAGUGGAACCAGCCCAAGAGAAACAAGUGUGUUGCAGUCAACAAAGCUGAAAGGAGUUAGAGAUCUGAAGAGCACUUUGACAUCAGACAUGGAGAUGCAGAAUUUGGAGUUUUCCCUGCUGGUUUUAGGCAUUGGAGCCUACUUCUUUGGGAUUCCACCACAUACUGAAAAACAGCUGAUACUUCCAGCAUCGUAGCCUGGACAACUACUGGAUCCUUGCACUUUCCAUUCACAGCCAUCCUUUGUUAAUCAUUCCAAUAAUCUAUAUGUGUGAGAGAGAUUCAUUCUGUAAGUUCUAUUCUCUAGAGAAUCCUGACUAAUACAUAGAGUUAGAAAGGCUAGGAGCUAUUGCCUUGAUGGAGGAAGUAUGUCACUUGGGGUAGGCAUUGAGGUUUCAAAAGCUCAUGCCAGGCCCAGUCCGUCUCCCAUCUCUGUCUCUAUCUCUGUCUCCUGUUUUUCUUCCUUCCUCCCUCCCUCUCUCCCUCCCUCUGCCCCCCUUCUCACUCUGCAGAUCAGGAUGCAUCUCUCAGCUACUGUUGCAGUGCAACGCAUGCUGCUAUGAUCCCCACCAUGACAAUAAUAGAUUAAACCUCUGAAACUGUAAGCCAGCCCAAUUAAAUGCUUCCUUUUAUAAGAGUUGUGGUCAUGGUGUCUUCUCACAGCAAUAGCGCACUAAGACAAAUUCCUUCUCUGAGAAAGAUAUUGUUCUUAGGCUUUGGAAUAUGCAGAGGUAAAAGACAAGGGUUAGUGACCAGCACCCUCUACAUAUUUCUUAUAGUAAUGGGAAUGCUUUGGGAAUCAGUUUCUUAUAGAAUUCAACAUAAUCUCAUUCCUCAACAUUUACCUGAGAGCUAAAACUUUGUGUUCAUGCAAACACUUGUAUGAUAAUGUAUAGUGCCUUUGUUUAUUGUGGCAUAACUCGACUUUCAGCUGAUAACUGAAUAAACAGAAAGUAGUGUAUUCAAACAAUGGAAUAUUAAAUAGCAAUAAAAAG